rnacentral:lncRNA from 1 species
UCACUCAAAUAUUUAUCAGUGUUGUAUAUACAUGAUAAUAACAACAUGAUAAAAAAUAAUAAAGAAGGGAACGAGACUCAUUGGUUUCGGCCCGAUGAAGGUUAGGCCCAGCAAACAACAAACAAACGGCAGCAGCUUCCAUGACUUCGAACUCAAGGGCGGGAACUUGGGCCUGAGUUCUCGAGAACUCAACAGUCCUAGUUCAAUUACAAGUUCAAAAGAGAAAAGCAGAAAUUAGUGACAAAGCCCAACAUAUUAAAUGCAGAUAAGAUCAAUCUAAGGCACAAAUGAGACGGUAACAAAUGCUUGCGAUUAAUAACGCAAAUAAAUCGUGUAAGAUCAAACGGAGCAAACAAAAUUAUAGUGAAGCCCUUUUUCUUCAUUAAACAAUAAUCCUAAAGAGAUUAACAAAUGUCAAUGAUUAAGAGAUUAAGGUAAAAUUCUAUUCAUAGCCAAGACAUUCUUUGGUUCCCUGACAUUUUAAAGUUCACAAGAGUCUCAGAAAACCUAAGCAGUGCUUGUGUCAGGAAGAGUAUCUCCACCACAAAAUAAAUUUCACUCCUAAUUACCCCUAACCAUUUAGACUAACUCUUCCUUAUAGGUUUAAAUGCCAAUGAGGCAUUCAUUGUAAGUUUCAAUACAACUGUAACAACAAUACACAGGUUUAGACAUGUACACUUCUAAUAGAAACUAUACAUAAUGUUACUAUGAAUAUAUGAUAACAAGUAACACCAGGGAGAUCACAAUCCAAGCCCAAGUAUGUAGUUCAUUAUCAAGAACUACCAGUAGAAGGAUACUCAAAGAAACCAAUUAUUGGUGCAAUUAAGGAAAGAGAAUAGCAACAGGUUCAAACAAUUAAGUCAUGUAGCUUAAGAAGUAGAGGAGAUACAUAGUUCAAGUUUACAGAGGUCCUCAACUUUAACAACCUAUGUUUAAGUUAGUCAGGGGUUCAUACAUAGACUAAGUCUUAAUUUAUAAUAGAUGUAUGAAUUAAUAACUUCAUAUGGAAUCUAAAGAGCAUCAACAGGGGUACUUAAGCAUGCAAGUUGGUCUCAACUUAACAUAUGAUCACUUUUUUUCCAAAAAAGUUCCUAAUAUUAUAUUCACAUUAGGUUCAUUAAGAGUUAAGACAUAGUGUUAUACUCGAGCAGGGCAGAUAACAUCAGAUGGUUCCUCUUAAGUCCAUUAGUCAGUCACAGUCAACUUAUAGAGGCUUAGCAAAGUUCGGUUUCCUUUAUGUGAUAAUGCAGCAUGAAAACAUGGGUAUGAGUAUGAGAGAUAAACAGGAAGUUUUGUUCAAGAACAGGAUAAAAGUACAAACAACCAAAGAGAAGAUGUACAGACACACAUAUGAGACUUUCUUUAAAAGUACAAGACUACAAUAGGGUAGAGUAUCAAAUACCAACAGACUAAUCAUAGGAGUUCAGAAUAAUGGAUUGUUUCACAUUAAGUAAGCAUGCUUCAGUUAUACAAGUUAAGUGUGAAAAUUAGUCAUGAUGAAGUUCAGCUUAGCAUCCUAGCACAACAGAUGAAAUUUAAAUACUACAGAUACAAGUUAAUCAAGUUCCCAGGGCAUAUCUUAAACUAAGUGAAUGUCAGCUGUCAAAAUACACACAAGAACAAGUGUAGAAACUCAGUAGGACUUAAUCCAGUUAAUUCAGAACAUUAUUUAUACAAUAGAAUUUCAGAUAUGGUCACACAUUCAUGAAUAUUGAUAGAAAAUCAUUACAAUGAUCUUUCAAGAGUUACAGAACCAUAGAGGCACAUUAGAAGGAAGGAACUGACUCAAAUGAUAUAGGCUCAUAUACCUAGACUAAGAUGACAACCUUGUUUGACAUCAUUAAAGGUUCAUAUCCCAUUUUUACUUUAUUUUAUCAGGUGGAUAAUCUUUAGUACAUAGGGUAAGUCUGUAAGUCAACAAGUAACACUAAGUAAAGACUAGUAGAGUAAGUAUGAGAGUCAUAACAAAAGUCAUCAGCAAUGUUUAAUGUCAAAAUAGAUGCACAUAACUAGUAAGGUUCUUUGCCAAUCACACAUUACAUAUUUAUUGAGAUUACAAAGUAGUUGACUAGUAUUAGUUUAAUUUCUGAUUACUAAGGAAAACAAUACCAAAACAUAAUGUUAAUUAUGAACUGAUAAUAAUAUAUUAUGAACAGAAAUAAUCAACUAUAACCAAUAAUAACACAUCAUGAGUGAGUCUACUUAAUAUACGCAAGAUUUCAAUUAAAUAGUCAAAGGAAAAGAAGGAUCGAAGAUCACUGACCUUACUUUGAGCAGCAAACCAAAUGAGGACUUUUGUUAGCCGUCUAGGGAUUAGAAAGCUCAAACUCCGACCAGUAAUAAAGCUCGAAAUGGGAAAAGAAACCAAACUAGUUAGAAACCCUAGCUUAAUUCUUUACUAAGCAAAUUCUAAAAUUGAUAUUCUCUGUAAUUGAUUUCUAAUGUGUAUCACGUGUUAGGUAUGUUAGGUGAGAACAUUAAAGAUUUCCUUUUAUAGUGACAUUCGAUGCCUUAGGUUUCAACUGAUUUAAACGAUAGUGGAGAAUAACAGAGGGUUGAUGAUGUGAGCACAAUUGAGUGAAAUCAGAGACGAACAGAGGGGAAAAUCAGCGAAAGUUUUACUUGAAGUGGGGAAAGGUUGACCGUUGAAAGUAAAAUCAGGGGACAAAGCUCAAAAACCCAUAGGUCAUUGCGUUUGACCUCUGGGUAUAGAAUCUUCAUCAUGAGACUUUGAAGAAGAUUCAUGCAUGCUUCGAUUUAACAUAACGCAAGAGGAAUCCGGUGAUUCGAUGUUUUAUGUUUAAGCUAGGAUUUUCGAAUUUGGGUGUUUGAAUCUUAAAGACAAAAAUGAGAAAAGUUCAGCGAGGAUCGUGGGUAUUGAAGACAGAAAGGAUGACUUCUGCGUGAUUUGAGACCCUGCACGAAUUUGUGCAAGGUUUUCUUGACUGAUUAAGGCGAUGAGUUUGAGAGAAAUGAUAGAGAAAAUGAAAUGGGGUGGCCGAGCCUGUGGGAAAAUGAUUUUAGGGUUAGGGGAAUUAGGUUCGUCUCUUAGGUUAAGAUAAGGAGAUGAGACCUGGACCGUUGG